rnacentral:rRNA from 1 species
AGAGUUUGAUCCUGGCUCAGAAUGAACGCUGGCGACGUGCCUAACACAUGCAAGUCGAACGAGAAAGCCCUUCGGGGUAAGUAGAGUGGCAAACGGGUGAGUAACACGUAAGAAUCUGCCCUUUGGUGGGGAAUACCUCUGAGAAAUUGGAGUUAAUACCACAUAAGUCUCUACGGAGAGAAAGAUGGCGUAAUGCUGUCGCCGAAGGAUGAGCUUGCGGCCUAUUAGCUAGUUGGUGUGGUAAGAGCGCACCAAGGCGAUGAUGGGUAACCGGCCUGAGAGGGUGUACGGUCACACUGGAACUGAGACACGGUCCAGACUCCUACGGGAGGCAGCAGUGGGGAAUAUUGCACAAUGGGCGCAAGCCUGAUGCAGCGACGUCGCGUGGAGGAUGAAGGUUUUCGGAUUGUAAACUCCUGUUAAACGGGAAGAAAGAGUUACUGUUAAUAGCAGUGAUUGAUGACGUUACCGUUAAAGAAAGCACCGGCUAACUUCGUGCCAGCAGCCGCGGUAAUACGAAGGGUGCGAGCGUUAUUCGGAAUAACUGGGCGUAAAGGGUGCGUAGGCGGUAUUCUAAGUCGACGGUUAAAGACUACAGCUUAACUGUAGAAAGGCCGGCGAUACUGGAGUGCUAGAGGAUAGCAGAGAGGAGUGGAAUUCUCGGGGUAGCGGUAAAAUGCGUAGAUCUCGAGAGGAACACCGAUGGCGAAGGCAGCUCCUUGGGCUAUAUCUGACGCUGAGGCACGAAAGCGUGGGGAGCAAACAGGAUUAGAUACCCUGGUAGUCC